CAACGAUCUUGUAUGUGUAAUUUUAUUAUGCUAGAGUCAUAGUUCCGACACCUAAUUCGUCGUUAGGAUCAUAUGCCGAUAUUUUGCAAUAGUAUAAUUUCUUAGUUGAUUUACUACGACACUUCUUGCUUCGCGCGUCUUACUCUACAGAGUACACAACGCCGACACACAACGAGAACAGACAAUUUCGAAUUCUUUGAAUUGCAGAAGCAUACUGACAGGGACGGAGUUUCAUUGAUGCGGUGCACCGUAUGAAGGGUGGAGCGAGCGAUUACGAUGAAGACCGGAUUCCAUCGGUGGAGUUCGGAUGAUCAAAGAAACGUAAGUGAUGAUGAAUUGGACGGUCUUGAUGAGCGCAAAGUAGGAGUUGUCAUUGAUGAGCAACGAGGUUUUCGUGGCUUGGUCUCUUUCGAAGUUGCCUUGCCGCUUAUACCAACGUUCAUUCUCAAACGCUGGGAGCUCUUCCUGAACAAAAAGGAGUUAUGCAAGUAUUCAACUAUGCUUGAACGUUUGUCUUGUAUUAGAUCUUCCGCUCCUUUUAGUUUCUUUGUUCAUGCUUCUUUUCUCACCUGUUCUUCGUCACAGCAUCACAGAAUUUAUAGUCCCAAAGUGCCCAUGAUUCUCUAUUCCUAAUCCUUUCUACAUUAUUUUUGUUAGCUUGUAUUAUUCUUUUCUUCUUCUUCAACCUGUCAAAUCAACUUAUUCAUAUCUUGACGAUGACAAAAGAAUUCCUCUACCACCGCGCUAUUGUGUUGUUGAAUAAAGUCUAAUCUCAUGAACAAUUCAGACUACUUUACCACUACCCAGUCAACAAUUGACCUUACGUCCUGAUAGUGAAGGCGUGAGUUUGAUUUUUUUUAGUUCCCACUUUCCAGUGCCGUUAAACAUGAAUCCGUCACUCACAUGAUGUGGGUAUCAGCUGAGCUUAAUGAAAAAACAAACACUAAUAUCAAUUUUUUUCUAAAUCUUUGGCAGCAAACUAUGCAUUGAAUUUGAAAAACACAUCAAACUACAAACUUCAUGUGCAUGACUGGGUUGGAAUAGGAAAUGACAUUUCGUGGAGCUUUUGGAGCUUCCUUUCAGCUUGGGACCAGUCCAUUUUUUUCUUGGAAAUCCACCAUGCCACCUCAAGUUGGUUCAACUUUAAAUUUUCUUUUCAUCAUAGCAACUGCAACAGCUUUUGUGAGAGUCGUAUGGUGUCUUUACUCAAAUGUUCAUAUUUUUUUUAAUUCGUUGAACUGGAAGCCACUUAUUAGACCAUAUUUUAUAGUGUUAUAUGAAAACCUGGUCGGAUAAGUUUAAAAUCAUCGAACAGGUGUAUGACCCUCAUGUCGUGGAGGUUUUCCAAAGAAAAGUCAUAAUUUUUCCCUGUUGCUUCUUCGUUUAAUGUUACCUUAUGGUGGUGUUAUGAUCAUGCUAGCAUGGCACCUGAAGGAUAUGCUCCUCAGUCUCAACUAGGUUCAGGAAAUUGUGGGAAGUACAAUUUUUGGCCCCCCAUUUCAUGCAGUACUGUCUGAAGGAUGAUUAUUGCUGUACUCUCUGAAGGAUGUUUAUUGUUGUACUCUCUGAAGGAUGUUUAUUUGUACACAAUCUGAAAGAUACAAAUGUUGUGUUGAAAGAAACAAGCUAUAUUGAACGUACGUUGGUACUUCAGAAACUUUUCCGCCUUUUUCGGUAAAAUGAUCUUCAUUACUUUAUGUGGUUAGUUGUGGAUGGAAGGUAAAACUUCACCCAGUAAUAAUCCCAUUUCACUCUGUAAAAGUUUAGUAUUUGAUAAAA